GCCUCUGUGUCUCCACGACAAGGUGAUCAUCCAGCUCUCUCCUCUGGACGCACGUGUCCUCCGCCCCGGGGACUUCUACCUACAGGUGGCAUCGCCCUCUGACUCCCCAGCUCCUCCUCCACCAACACCCCCAGCCCACCCUGUAUCAUCCUGCGCUGUCUGGCCCCCAGUGGGCAGCAUGUAGAGGAGGUAAAGUUACCAGAGCUAGCCUACACCUCCCUGUUCACCAUGGCCUGGCUCCACUCAGUCAACAGGGAACGGAGUGGAGCAGGAACGGAGACAAGGUCUGGAACAGGGUCGGGGACAGAGACGGGGUCGGGGACAGGGUCGGGGACAGGGCCUGGGACAGGG